AUGCCCUGCCUCGUUGAGCAAGAGCAAUAUGGACAAUUUGUGCUCGACCUGAAGCACUUCGUUAAAGCCCCACCGCACCCCGUCUACGACUACCGCCCGUCCGACUGGACGCAUAGGAUCGGUGCCCAUGACAUGUGUGCCAAGCACAUGCGCUCCUUCUGCCGCAAGGUCAUCCUCUCCAACUGCCCGCCGUGCCCCGCUGCAAUGAUGAUCACGGGCAGCCAGUUUGGCUUUGUGGCCUUCGCCACGGCGCAUGGCGGCUGGCGCGUGAUGGCGUCGACCUCGCUAAGACGGUGUGCGGGACGACGCCCUCGCCCGACGGCAUCGAGGACGCCAUCCACUAUGAGGGCAGGUUCUACUCGAUCACAUACUCCGGCCAAGUGA
rnacentral:rRNA from 1 species